rnacentral:rRNA from 1 species
CCUACGGGAGGCAGCAGUGGGGAAUUUUGGACAAUGGGGGCAACCCUGAUCCAGCCAUGCCGCGUGAGUGAAGAAGGCCUUCGGGUUGUAAAGCUCUUUCGGUAGGAACGCGGUACUUACAGAAGAAGCACCGGCUAACUACGUGCCAGCAGCCGCGGUAAUACGUAGGGUGCGAGCGUUAAUCGGAAUUACUGGGCGUAAAGCGUGCGCAGGCGGUUAUUUAAGUCAGGUGUGAAAGCCCUGGGCUUAACCUAGGAAUUGCGCUUGAGACUGGAUGCUUGGAGUGUGGCAGAGGGAGGUGGAAUUCCACGUGUAGCAGUGAAAUGCGUAGAGAUGUGGAGGAACACCGAUGGCGAAGGCAGCCUCCUGGGCCAGACUGACGCUCAUGCACGAAAGCGUGGGGAGCAAACAGGAUUAGAUACCCUUGUAGUC